UACGUAGGGACCGAGCGUUGUCCGGAUUCAUUGGGCGUAAAGAGCUCGUAGGCGGCUGUUCAAGUCGAACGUGAAAACUCGGAGCUCAACUCCGAGCCUGCGUUCGAUACUGGACGGCUAGAGUCUGGUAGGGGGAUCUGGAAUUCCUGGUGUAGCGGUGGAAUGCGCAGAUAUCAGGAGGAACACCAUUGCGAAGGCAGCUCGCUGGGACGUUACUGACGCUGAGACGCGAAAGCGUGGGGAGCAAACAGG
rnacentral:rRNA from 1 species